CCCGUCUUGAAACACGGACCAAGGAGUCUAACAUGUGCGCGAGUCAUUGGGUGGACUCUAAACCUAAAGGCGCAAUGAAAGUGAAGGUCACGCCUCGCGCGGACCGAGGGAAGAUGGGGCGCGCGGCAGCGCCGCUCCCGCAUUCCCGGGGCGUCUCGUUCUCAUUGCGAGUUGAGGCGCACCCAGAGCGUACACGUUGGGACCCGAAAGAUGGUGAACUAUGCCUGGCCAGGACGAAGUCAGGGGAAACCCUGAUGGAGGUCCGUAGCGAUUCUGACGUGCAAAUCGAUCGUCGGAGCUGGGUAUAGGGG
rnacentral:rRNA from 1 species